AUGGAGGACGGUUGCUCUAUAAGGACUACUUUAAGCCCGGCCCAACAGUCCCUGAUAAUUUUUUUGCCGACGCUUUUGUUUGCAAAAAAAAGACGUUUUCGUUUGCGCAAACCCUUGUUCUUGCGCGUGGUGGAGGGAGUGGAGGCACAUGAUUCGUACUUCAGGCUCAACAAGGAUUGUUGCAGACAACUCUCGUUCUCUCCUAAGCAGAAAUGCACGGUUGCUAUGAGGAUGCUUGCAUUAGGUACCGCCAUCUAUGCCAUUGGUGAAAUGGUUCGGAUGGGAGAGAGCACAUGCCUGAAGACCACUGUGAGGUUUACCCGAAUAAUGGUGAAGGUGUUUGGAAUAGAGCAUCUAAUAGAACCAAAUGUGCAAGACACAUCAAGGUUGAUGGCUAUUGGAGCGGCUAGAGGUUUUCCAGGUAUGUCCGGUUCAGUUGAUUGCAUGCAUUGA
rnacentral:rRNA from 1 species